rnacentral:misc_RNA from 1 species
GUCUGCUUUGGCCUGGUCAAC